UGCAUGUUGUCAUAUAGGAAUAUAUUGUUUAUUAAUAAACAGCACACAGUGGUCCCGCUCAUCCGUCACUGCCUCGCUUUUUCGCUGAUUUUUCAUUGCACCGUACAGCAUUGCAUUCUGCAGCCUGAUUGACAAAUCUCCUCCGUGUCGUGUCUCCUGCGCUUGCCAAAUUGAUCAUGUUUGGUUUUGAUAACCAUCACGUCCAAUAGAAAAAACAGCACAAAAACGCUCAUAACUAUGACCCUCAUUCGGAAAUAGACACCUGCACCGGGAGGAAAAGGAAAAGGCGCACGAAAGUGGCGGGCAGAUGAAGACAAAACGCGGCAUAAAAAUACUUUUACGUUUUGCAAUCUACAAAGGUUUGCACUUUGAGAAUCAACUUGUGAGAACUGUGACUAAUGUUCAUGUGUGUGGGGAAAAAAGUGUAUAAAGUGCGUGGCGAGGGGCUAUUUAUUCUGAGAACCCCUGCUGCAAUAAAACAGGGACCACUGUAUAUACUUUCUCUAUGAUUAUUGUAUUCAACCUGUUAACAUUUAAUAUUGUCUUGAUAGAACCAACUGAUUCUGCUGCAGAGCAUCCCCUGUUGCUUCUCCUGGCUCCCCAGUCCCUGAGCUCCUGCUGCUGCACCCACAGAGAGGAGGACAGCUCCGAGGCAGAUGAGGGACGGGUCCCAGGACGGUCCAUCGGCAGUGGAGCUGGCCAUCCUGGUGUCCCUGAAGAGGCCACGCCAGUCUGCAAUGGAGCAUUUCCUCCUCAGCCUUGUUCCUGCUCUGGAGAGCAGCUGGGUCUUUUUUUUUUUUAUU
ensembl:lncRNA